GUGCAGCAGUCGAGAAACCUUCACAAUGCACGAAAGUGUGAUGAGGGUACUCCGAGUGCGCAUACAUUGUAUGUGCUUUUCUGCAGCGUAAAUAGUUGCAGGAAUAAGGGCUGGGCAAGACCGGUGCCAGCCGCCGCGGUAACACCGGCAGCCCUAGUGGUGGCCGCUUUUAUUGGGCCUAAAGCGUCCGUAGCCGGACAGGCGAGUCUUUGGGUAAAUCCUACGUCUUAAGCGUGGGAACUCUAAAGAUACUACCUGUCUUGAGGCCGGGAGAGGCUGGAGGUACUCCUGGGGUAGGGGUAAAAUCCUAUAAUCCUGGGGGGACCACCGAUGGCGAAGGCAUCCAGCUGGAACGGGCCUGACGGUGAGGGACGAAACCCAGGGGAGCGAGCCGGAUUAGAUACCCGAGUAGUCC
rnacentral:rRNA from 1 species